AGCUUCACACUGUUGUGUUCACUUGUAGGGAAACACCUAACCUGAAAAGAUAUGAUACCAAAUACCGGGUUCAUUUUAUAAUUCCAGAUCACUGAAUAAACGAUUAACCAUCGAACUGUUACCUUUCUCCAAAGUAUUCCAUAUUUAACUCAGAUUUGUUUCGUGUGCACGUGAUCGACAUCCGUUAGAUCGAGGACGUCAAUAGAUCAAUCAAAUCAUUUUUGCAGCUUUCUACUGGUUUUGGUCACAAAGGGCGUGACAGACGUCAAAUGACUAUAUAUACACUACGAUUAUCAAGCUCAUCAUUUACUUCUAGCUGCUGCUUCCGAUCGGAGAACGAAGACUUAUCUGAAGCCUGAACACUUUUGGAAAACCAAGACAUGAAAUUCCUCGUGACGUUGUGUCUCCUGGCUGUUUGUGCAGUUUUGGUGUCCUCCCGCUUUACUGGCCGAAAUCCAUUCCGUCGAGGAUACGCUAUGCGCGACCCGCGACCCGACAACGAAGCACGGGAUCCAAUUGAAGUGUUUUGCUCCACACAAGUGCCAAACUGCAAGACUAAAGGCCAAGCCUGCCAAUUAAACAGCGAUUGCUGCCUCUGCCCCACAAAAGGAGGAUAUUAUCCUUGCAUGAUUUGUAGUUCAUAUGACCAUACCUGUUUCAUGUAAGUUUUCCCUGUCGCUGGGAGACCAUAAUUAGGUAACAAGUCUAUUUUGACUAGCCUGUAAUAAGUCAUCUUCUGGCUUUGUAGAUCAAUCAGUUGAUUGAGAAUUAUUUUCGUGCAUGAUUUGCAGUUCAAUGUAUUGAUAAAAAGCGUUUUUAAUUAGUACGUUUCCCUGGCAGUUGGGAGAAUACAUGUAUUAGGUGCUAAGACUUACUUGUAAUAAACCAUUAACGCUCACUGUUUAUUGAA